rnacentral:rRNA from 1 species
CCUACGGGAGGCAGCAGUGGGGAAUAUUGCGCAAUGGGCGAAAGCCUGACGCAGCGACGCCGCGUGAGGGAUGAAGGUCUUCGGAUCAUAAACCUCUGUCAGCAGGGAAGAACGGUCACUGUGCUAAUCAGCAGUGAAUUGACGGUACCUGCAAAGGAAGCACCGGCUAACUCCGUGCCAGCAGCCGCGGUAAUACGGAGGGUGCGAGCGUUAAUCGGAAUUACUGGGCGUAAAGCGCUCGUAGGCGGUAGGUCAAGUCAAGGGUGAAAUCCCCGGGCUCAACGUGGGAACUGCAUUUGAAACUGGUAAACGGGAGUGUGGGAGAGGUAGGUGGAAUUCCAGGUGUAGGAGUGAAAUCCGUAGAUAUCUGGAGGAACAUCAGUGGCGAAGGCGACUAUCUGGCACAUAACUGACGCUGAGGAGCGAAAGCGUGGGUAGCAAACAGGAUUAGAUACCCCUGUAGUC